ACUCCUACGGGAGGCAGCAGUAACGAAUCUUCCGCAAUGCACGAAAGUGUGACGGAGCGACGCCGCGUGUAGGACGAAGCCCUUCGGGGUGUAAACUACUGUCAGGGGUUAGAAAGUUCUGAUCAACCCCAGAGGAAGGGACGGCUAACUCUGUGCCAGCAGCCGCGGUAAU
rnacentral:rRNA from 1 species